CGCCUCGCCGUUUACAAGAACCGCAACCUUAGCGUUACCGACACAUUGCAUCAUCCAUUUGCGCCAUUUUUCGUCAAAGCCCCACCACUCCAUAAUCUGUAGUAAAAAGACCAAUUAAUUCUAUCGUAAGCUUUCUCGAAAUCAGCUUUCACACCUACGCCUUCCACAGAAUUCUUAUCUCCCCAUCCGACAAUCUCACAAGCAGU
rnacentral:lncRNA from 1 species